UACGUAGGGUGCGAGCGUUGUCCGGAAUUAUUGGGCGUAAAGAGCUCGUAGGCGGCCUGUCGCGUCGGUUGUGAAAGCCCGGGGCUUAACCCCGGGUCUGCAGUCGAUACGGGCAGGCUAGAGUUCGGUAGGGGAGAUCGGAAUUCCUGGUGUAGCGGUGAAAUGCGCAGAUAUCAGGAGGAACACCGGUGGCGAAGGCGGAUCUCUGGGCCGAUACUGACGCUGAGGAGCGAAAGCGUGGGGAGCGAACAGGAUUAGAUCGACCUAGUCAG
rnacentral:rRNA from 1 species